rnacentral:tRNA from 1 species
GGUGGCUCAGUGGUAGAGCGCAUGCCUCGCAGGUAUGAGGCCCUGGGUUUGAUUCCUCAGCACCA